CGCCUGUUUAUCAAAAACAUGUCCUUUUGGUGUUUAUUUAAGGUUUGGCCUGCUCCAUGAUUGAUUUAAAUAGCCGCAGUAUCUUGACUGUGCAAAGGUAGCAUAAUCAUUAGUUUUUUAAUUGGAAGCUGGUAUGAAGGGUCGGAUGAGGAAGAAACUGUCUCAUUGCAAAUUUAUUUGAAUUUUAUUUUUAAGUUAAAAAGCUUAAAUUUUAUAGAAAGACGAGAAGACCCUAUAGAGUUUAAUAGGCUUAUAUUUUAAUUAUUAGAAGUUGGUAUUUUAAUUUUCUUAUAACUUAUUUUGUUGGGGUGAUACAAGAAUUGAAUAAACUUCUUGGACUAUGAACAUUGAUUAAUGAUUGGUUGAUCCUAUUUUUUGGAUUAUAAGAGUAAAUUACCUUAGGGAUAACAGCGUAAUUUUUUUGGAGAGUUCUUAUCGAUAAGAAAGAUUGCGACCUCGAUGUUGGAUUAAAGUUUAAUUUUGGUGUAGGAGCUGGGAUUUUA
rnacentral:rRNA from 1 species